GACGAACGCUGGCGGCGUGCUUAACACAUGCAAGUCGAACGGAAAGGCCCUGCUUUUGUGGGGUGCUCGAGUGGCGAACGGGUGAGUAACACGUGAGUAACCUGCCCUUGACUUUGGGAUAACUUCAGGAAACUGGGGCUAAUACCGGAUAGGAGCUCCUGCUGCAUGGUGGGGGUUGGAAAGUUUCGGCGGUUGGGGAUGGACUCGCGGCUUAUCAGCUUGUUGGUGGGGUAGUGGCUUACCAAGGCUUUGACGGGUAGCCGGCCUGAGAGGGUGACCGGCCACAUUAGGACUGAGAUACGGCCCAGACUCCUACGGGAGGCAGCAGUGGGGAGUAUUACACAAUGGGCGGAAGCCUGAUGCAGCAACGCCGCGUGCGGGAUGACGGCCUUCGGGUUGUAAACCGCUUUCGCCUGUGACGAAGCGUGAGUGACGGUAAUGGGUAAAGAAGCACCGGCUAACUACGUG
rnacentral:rRNA from 1 species